UCAGAACGAACGCUGGCGGCAGGCUUAACACAUGCAAGUCGAGCGCCCCGCAAGGGGAGCGGCAGACGGGUGAGUAACGCGUGGGAACGUACCCUUUACUACGGAAUAACGCAGGGAAACUUGUGCUAAUACCGUAUGUGCCCUUCGGGGGAAAGAUUUAUCGGUAAGGGAUCGGCCCGCGUUGGAUUAGCUAGUUGGUGGGGUAAAGGCCUACCAAGGCGACGAUCCAUAGCUGGUCUGAGAGGAUGAUCAGCCACAUUGGGACUGAGACACGGCCCAAACUCCUACGGGAGGCAGCAGUGGGGAAUAUUGGACAAUGGGCGCAAGCCUGAUCCAGCCAUGCCGCGUGAGUGAUGAAGGCCCUAGGGUUGUAAAGCUCUUUCACCGGAGAAGAUAAUGACGGUUCCG
rnacentral:rRNA from 1 species